rnacentral:misc_RNA from 1 species
GCCCUUAUCUCUUAAACUAAUCUUCACAUCUCUUCUCCUAAUUGAUCAUCAAUGCAACCCAAAAUUUGAAAACUCAUUUCUACAAUGCAGUAACACAGAUCCAUAGUUUAUGGUGUCAUGCCCAUCCCACAAAAUGAAUUGAGUGGAAGAGUAGGAAAAGGAUAGAAGUGCGGGAGAUCUGAAUGAUAGAGAUAGCAUUGGGAAAGGGGAAAUCGGCGGGGGGCAGCUUGGCAGUUUGGAAUUUGGGGUUAUUGUGA